GUGGGGAAUAUUGGACAAUGGGCGCAAGCCUGAUCCAGCCAUGCCGCGUGAGUGAUGAAGGCCCUAGGGUUGUAAAGCUCUUUCACCGAUGAAGAUAAUGACGGUAGUCGGAGAAGAAGCCCCGGCUAACUUCGUGCCAGCAGCCGCGGUAAUACGAAGGGGGCUAGCGUUGUUCGGAAUUACUGGGCGUAAAGCGCACGUAGGCGGAUAUUUAAGUCAGGGGUGAAAUCCCGGGGCGCCACCCCGGAACUGCCUUUGAUACUGGGUAUCUCGAGUAUGGAAGAGGUGAGUGGAAUUCCGAGUGUAGAGGUGAAAUUCGUAGAUAUUCGGAGGAACACCAGUGGCGAAGGCGGCUCACUGGUCCAUUACUGACGCUGAGGUGCGAAAGCGUGGGGAGCAAACAGGAUUAGAAACCCGAGUAGUCC
rnacentral:rRNA from 1 species